rnacentral:rRNA from 1 species
UACGGAGGUGGCAAGCGUUGUUCGGAAUUACUGGACGUAAAGGGCGCGUAGGCGGCUAGGCAAGUCAGGUGUGAAAGCCCCGAGCUUAACUCGGGAAUUGCAUCUGAAACUGCUGUGCUUGAGUUCUGGAGGGGGUAGUGGAAUUCCCAGUGUAGCGGUGAAAUGCGUAGAUAUUGGGAGGAACACCUGCGGCGAAGGCGGCUACCUGGGCAGAAACUGACGCUGAGGCGCGAAAGCUAGGGGAGCGAACGGG